rnacentral:lncRNA from 1 species
GGGGCGCCUGUGGGAGCCGUGGAGGGAACUUUCCCAGUCCCCGAGGCGGAUCCGGUGUUGCAUCCUUGGAGCGAGCUGAGAGCUCGAGGUGAGCUGGGCUCGCGGUCGCCCCUCUCGCGCGCCCUCUUUAAGAACCACGGCGUCCAACCUCCCUGGAAAUGGGGGGAACAUGGCCGAGGCGCGUGGCGAGGCCGCCUCGUGGAGGCCCCGGAGCGGCAUCCUCAGCGCCCCAGCGAUCCGGUGCCCAUUAGUACAGAACCUGCUAAGGCCAUCAAACCUAUUGAUCGGAAGUCAGUCCAUCAGAUUUGCUCUGGGCCGGUGGUACCGAGUCUAAGCACUGCGGUGAAGGAGUUAGUAGAAAACAGUCUGGAUGCUGGUGCCACUAAUAUUGAUCUAAAGCUUAAGGACUAUGGAGUGGAUCUCAUUGAAGUUUCAGGCAAUGGAUGUGGGGUAGAAGAAGAAAACUUCGAAGGCUUAACUCUGAAACAUCACACAUCUAAGAUUCAAGAGUUUGCCGACCUACCUCAGGUUGAAACUUUUGGCUUUCGGGGGGAAGCUCUGAGCUCACUUUGUGCACUGAGAAACGUGCCUGCUUCCCCUUCGCCUUCUGCCGUGAUUGUCAGUUUCCUGAGGCCUCCCCAGCCAUGCUUCCUGUACAGCCUGCAGAACUGACUCCUAGAAGUACCCCACCCCACCCCUGCUCCUUGGAGGACAACGUGAUCACUGUAUUCAGCUCUGUCAAGAAUGGUCCAGGUUCUUCUAGAUGAUCUGCACAAAUGGCUCCUCUCCUCCUUCCUGAUGUCUGCCAUUAGCACUGGAAUAAAGUUCCUGCUGAAAAUCCA